ensembl:lncRNA
ACUUGAAAAACAAUGGGAAGUUGGUGAGCAGCCAUCAGGGGACUGGCUAGGUACCUAUUGGUAGCUAGUGAGCAAUUGCAUUGUGCAUCACAGGCCGCCUGAUCAAGCAGAGUCUGUUGAUGAAGCCUUUUUGCUCCAGCUACAGGAUGCAUCAUGAUCACAGGCUCUCGUCCCACUGGAGGACUUCAAUUACCCUGGCAUCUGCUGGAAAAGUUGCACAGCAUGCUGUAGGCAAUCCAAGAGGCUCCUGGGAAAUAUUAAGGAUAACUUCCUGAGCAAGUCUUCACUAGUGACUGCUCUACACACAGCCCUCGAGGGGAUGGUUCUGAAGAUGGGAAAUGGGGGAUCCCCUCUUGCUGUAAGUGAAGAACAGGUUUGUGACCACCUGAGGAACCCGAACAUCCACAAGCCUAUGGGUCCCAAUUAGAUGCAUCCCAGAGGAAAUUGGCUGAUGUCAUCAAGCAGCUCUUGAUGAUAUCUGAAAAGUCAUGGCAGUCAGAUGAAGUUCCUGGUGACUGGAAAAGUGGCAACAUCACACCCAUUUUUAAGAGGGAUAGAAAGGAUGAGCCAGGGAACUGCUGACCUGUUAGGCCUUGCCUCUGUGCCAGGGAAGAUCAUGGAGCACAUGGAAGAGGGAGCUGACGCAGAAUAACCAGCAUGGUUUCACCAAGGAGAGGUCCUGCCUGACCAGAAUCAUGGCCUUUCAUGAUGGUAUAACUGCAUCAGUGGACAAGGGAAGAGCCACUGAUUUCAUCAUCUAUCUGGAAUUCUGUAAAGCCUUUGACAUGGUGCCCCACAACAUCCUUCUCUCCAAAUUGGAAGGACAUGGAAUUGAUCGGUUGACUGUUAGAUGGAUGAGGAACUGUUUAUGAGAUCAGUCAUACCCAGAGAGUGGUGGUCAAUGGCUCAAUGUCUGGAUGGAGAUCAGUGACAAGUGAUGUCCCUCAGUGGUCAGUGCUAGGACUGGUGUUCUUUAAUAUCUUCAUCAAUAACAUCAACAGUGGGAUUGAGUGCGUCUUCAGCAAGAGAGGUGGUGGAAGACCCUUCCUUGGAGACAUUCAAGGGCAGGGUGGACGGGGCUCUGAGCACCCUGAUCAAGCUGUAGGUGUCCCUGUUCAUUGCAGAAGAGUUGGACAAGAUGACCUUUAAAGGUCUCUUCCAACUCAAAUAAUCCUAUGAUUGAAUGAAAGAGACUGGUAAUUACUCUUUUUCACUGCUAGGGAAGCUAAGACGUUUGAUGAAUACAAAUGUUAUUUAAAGAAGAUAGACAGAAAGGAUGCUAACCUUCAUACACAGAGUUGGAAAAAAAUAUGCAAGCAUUAUAAGCAAGUUUUUUUUAUGGAAUAGAGGUGUUGGCUGUCAAGCUCUGUUACCAGCUGCUGUCUAAGGAAAUCAUUUCCAAAAUGAAACCACUGAUGAUCCAUGUGGGCAUGAUAGCUGGGCAUAGACAUGCAGGGAAAAAUAUAAAACAUAACAACAACAACAACGAAGUGUUUUUAAAAAAGGAAUGUUAAACUGUGCAAAACAGCCUGCAAGAAAAUUUGAAGGCUGGCAGAAAUCUGUCAGCUUGAAAGGCUGCAGAAAAAAAAGUUUGCAGUAAUGCCAGGAGAUUGAUAUGAAGUCUAAGCUCUGCAAAAUUUGUAAUAAGCUCCAAAGUAAUUUGAUACCCAUUUAUGACAAUGGGAGAUCAAUAUAAUUUAAAUGCACUGUCUGAAUACAACAGAGCAUGGGAAUUUCUCCGUAUAAAUCCUCCUGGGACUGUUAAGAACUUAGAGAAGAGUAAUAGGUUUCACAACCUUGAGAGAAUCCAAACUAGAAAUGUUGGUAUUUACAUUUUUCUUUCUUUUAUUAUUUUUAAUAAAAUACAAUCCCAAACUGU